rnacentral:rRNA from 1 species
GAUGAACGCUGGCGGCGUGCCUAAUACAUGCAAGUCGAGCGAACAGAUAAGGAGCUUGCUCCUUUGACGUUAGCGGCGGACGGGUGAGUAACACGUGGAUAACCUACCUAUAAGACUGGGAUAACUUCGGGAAACCGGAGCUAAUACCGGAUAACAUAUUGAACCGCAUGGUUCAAUAGUGAAAGGCGGCUUUGCUGUCACUUAUAGAUGGAUCCGCGCCGUAUUAGCUAGUUGGUAAGGUAACGGCUUACCAAGGCAACGAUACGUAGCCGACCUGAGAGGGUGAUCGGCCACACUGGAACUGAGACACGGUCCAGACUCCUACGGGAGGCAGCAGUAGGGAAUCUUCCGCAAUGGGCGAAAGCCUGACGGAACAACGCCGCGUGAGUGAUGAAGGUCUUCGGAUCGUAAAACUCUGUUAUCAGGGAAGAACAAAUGUGUAAGUAACUGUGCACAUCUUGACGGUACCCGAUCAGAAAGCCACGGCUAACUACGUG